GAUGAACGCUAGCGGCAGGCUUAAUACAUGCAAGUCAAGGGGCCAGCAAUGGCACCGGCGGACGGGUGAGUAACGCGUACACAACGUACCUUUAACUGGGGGAUAGCAUCUGGAAACGGGUGGUAAUACCGCAUGUGGUUGCGGGGAGGCAUCUCCUUGUAACUAAAACUUUGGUGGUUAGAGAUCGGUGUGCGUCUGAUUAGCUAGUUGGUAGGGUAGAGGCCUACCAAGGCGACGAUCAGUAGGGGGCGUGAGAGCGUGAACCCCCACACGGGUACUGAGACACGGACCCGACUCCUACGGGAGGCAGCAGUAAGGAAUAUUGGUCAAUGGAGGGAACUCUGAACCAGCCAUGCCGCGUGAAGGAAGAAGGCGCUACGCGUUGUAAACUUCUUUUGGGUGGGACGAAAAUAAUCCAUUUAUGGAUAGCUGACGGUACCAUCAGAAUAAGCACCGGCUAACUCCGUGCCAGCAGCCGCGGU
rnacentral:rRNA from 1 species